rnacentral:rRNA from 1 species
AAUUCGCGCGUAGAGUUUGAACCUGGCUCAGGACGAACGCUGACGGCGUGCUUAACACAUGCAAGUCGAACGGUGAAGGGGAGCUUGCUCCCUGGAUCAGUGGCGAACGGGUGAGUAACACGUGGGCAACCUGCCCCUGACUUCGGGAUAACGCUUCGAAAGAGGUGCUAAUACCGGAUAUGAACCCUGAGGGCAUCCUCGGGGUUGGAAAGUUUUUCGGUCAGGGAUGGGCCCGCGGCUAUCAGCUUGUUGGUGAGGUAGUGGCUCACCAAGGCGACGACGGGUAGCCGGCCUGAGAGGGCGACCGGCCACACUGGGACUGAGACACGGCCCAGACUCUACGGGAGGCAGCAGUGGGGAAUCUUGCGCAAUGGGCGAAAGCUGACGCAGCAACGCCGCGUGAGCAAGACGGCCUUCGGGUUGUAAAGCUCUGUCAGGAGGGACGAAGCCACUCAGGUUAAUAGCCGAGAGGGUGACGGUACCUCCAGAGGAAGCCCCGGCUAACUACGUGCCAGCAGCCGCGGUAAUACGUAGGGGGCUAGCGUUGUCCGGAAUUAUUGGGCGUAAAGAGCGUGUAGGCGGCUUGUUAAGUCUGGUGUGAAAACUGAGGGCUCAACCCUCAGCCUGCACUAGAAACUGGCUUGCUAGAGUCCGGAAGAGGGGACUGGAAUUCCUGGUGUAGCGGUGAAAUGCGCAGAUAUCAGGAAGAACACCCGUGGCGAAGGCGGGUCCCUGGGACGGUACUGACGCUGAGACGCGAAGGUGCGGGGAGCAAACAGGAUUAGAUACCCUGGUAGUCAAGGGCG